AUUGAACGCUGGCGGCAGGCCUAACACAUGCAAGUCGAGCGGAUGAAGGGAGCUUGCUCCUGGAUUCAGCGGCGGACGGGUGAGUAAUGCCUAGGAAUCUGCCUGGUAGUGGGGGAUAACGUCCGGUAACGGGCGCUAAUACCGCAUACGUCCUUAGGUAGAAAGUGGGGGAUCUUCGGACCUCACGCUAUCAGAUGAGCCUAGGUCGGAUUAGCUAGUUGGUGGGGUAAAGGCCUACCAAGGCGACGAUCCGUAACUGGUCUGAGAGGAUGAUCAGUCACACUGGAACUGAGACACGGUCCAGACCCCUACGGGAGGCAGCAGUGGGGAAUAUUGGACAAAGGGCGAAAGCCUGAUCCAGCCAUGCCGCGUGUGUGAAGAAGGUCUUCGGAUUGUAAAGCACUUUAAGUUGGGAGGAAGGACAGUAAGUUAAUACCUUGCUGUUUUGACGUUACCAACAGAAUAAGCACCGGCUAACUUCGUG
rnacentral:rRNA from 1 species